GCUCGAGACAAUAAAACAAAAGAAUCUGGCUGAGCCUGGGCAGCAGAGUUCUGAUGGAAAAUAUCUCAUUCCCUGGUGGUGAGUGGGACCCUGCCUGCCAGCGGAGAAGCUGUGCUUCCUCAGAACUAAGAAAAACAAGCAAAAUAUAUGCCCUCCCUACAUCAUGAGCACACUUGGAGAAUGCACUCUGAUGAUGGUAUAGAAGGCUGAGUAUUGUCUUCCAAAGGGAGGCAGAGGGAGACGACUGCAGAAGAGGAGGCAACCUGAGGAUGGAAGCAAAGGAAGGAUGACGAGGAGGCCCCAAGCCAAGGAAUGCGGGCAGCCACCCGAGACUAGAAAAAGCAAGGACUGGACCAUCCCUUGGAGCCUUAGGAAGCAACCAGUUUCCUGGCAGCUUGAUUUUUGCCCUGUAAGACUCAUUUCAGCCUUCUAGUCUCCAGAACAUUCGAGAAUAAAUUUCUAUUGUUUAAGCCAUUAAGUUUGUGAUAAUCUGUUACAGGAGGCAUAAGAAACUAAAACAGAUGGAGUCUGCUUCUGGAGUCAAGCAUCUUUAUUUCUGUAGGAAGAAGGGAGUCUCAGCUUACAGCUUCCAAGUCCUGACACCCAGGACCUCAGGAUGUAUCACCAUAUGCCCUCAGAUAGAGCAAAUGCCAGCAACACACAGGGGGGUCCA